AUGAUAACCUUAUCUUCAAGAAUAAAAUCAUUUCGUCCGAUGACCACAGAGACAUUAUAACCAGGACCCACAAACUAGAAAUUGAAUUCCUGUGCAAGUACGAGAAAAGAAGCAACCUUACAAUGGAGAUCAACUUCUCUACUAACAUUAGUAAUGAUACAUUGUGGAUGAAAAUGCUCAGAUUUUCUCAAACCGCCAACCAUACAUCGAGUUCGGGCUAGAGGCCUUUAAAUUCAUUGUGCUCCACGAGCAGGUGUUCAUCAGCUGCUCAAUCAUCAUAUCGUCACCUUCCUAAACUAAUUGCC